UUGGGAACUCAUUGGCUUCGGAGUCAUGAGAACUUUGAAGUUAAGCGAGUUUGGGCUAGAGCAAUCCCAAGAUGGGUGACCUAUUGGGAAGUGCUCGUAAGUUCCCAGA
rnacentral:rRNA from 1 species